rnacentral:tRNA from 1 species
CCCGGGGUAGCUCAGUUGGUUUAGAGCGGCGGUCUGUAAAACCGCAUGUCGGGAGUUCGAAUCUCUCCCCCGGGACCA